rnacentral:rRNA from 1 species
AUUGAACGCUGGCGGCAGGCCUAACACAUGCAAGUCGAACGAGUGGCGGACGGGUGAGUAAUGUAUGGGAAACUGCCUGAUGGAGGGGGAUAACUACUGGAAACGGUAGCUAAUACCGCAUACCAUCGGAUGUGCCCAGAUGGGAUUAGCUAGUAGGUGGGGUAAAGGCUCACCUAGGCGACGAUCCCUAGCUGGUCUGAGAGGAUGACCGGCCACACUGGGACUGAGACACGGUCCAGACUCCUACGGGAGGCAGCAGUGGGGAAUAUUGGACAAUGGGCGAAAGCCUGAUCGAGCCAUGCCGCGUGUAUGAAGAAGGUCUUCGGGUUGUAAAGCACUUUCAGCGGGGAAGCGGUACCUGCAGAAGAAGCACCGGCUAACUCCGUGCCAGCAGCCGCUGUAAUUC